rnacentral:rRNA from 1 species
CCUACGGGUGGCAGCAGUGAGGAAUAUUGGUCAAUGGGCUCACGCCUGAACCAGCCAAGUCGCGUGAGGGAAGACUGCCCUAUGGGUUGUAAACCUCUUUUGUCAGGGAGCAACGCCGGCUACGUGUAGCCGGACUGAGAGUACCUGAAGAAAAAGCAUCGGCUAACUCCGUGCCAGCAGCCGCGGUAAUACGGAGGAUGCGAGCGGUAUCCGGAUUUAUUGGGUUUAAAGGGUGCGUAGGCGGAAUGCCAAGUCAGCGGUAAAAUCGCGGGGCUCAACCUCGCUCCGCCGUUGAAACUGGCGUGCUUGAGUGGGCGAGAAGUAUGCGGAAGGCGUGGUGUAGCGGUGAAAUGCAUAGAUAUCACGCAGAACUCCGAUUGCGAAGGCAGCAUACCGGCGCCCAACUGACGCUGAAGCACGAAAGCGUGGGUAUCGAACAGGAUUAGAUACCCUAGUAGUC